ACUUUCCCUGCCGCCUUGCAGAGGUCUGGCUGUCCUUCGAGUCCCCGUUGAUCUCUGGAAUUCAGGCAUUAGCUCCCAGAGCCCUUUAACAUUCAUUAUUCUACUCUAUGAGCUAGGCAUGAUGGGGGCCGUCAUGCCCCUUGAACAGAUGGGAAAACCGAGGCUUGGAUCACAGAGCUGGUGGGACACAGAGCCAGUGACUGACAUAGAAGAGCAGUGGGGUAGAAUUACAGUUCCAUCUGGUGCCUUUUCUCUGAGCAAAGCUGUAUCCAUCACCACCAACAGAAAGUCCCAGGGAAGCGAAACCCCAGGGCAGUGUGGUGUGAUUCAUGCCCACCCAUCUUUGUGGCCUUGAAGGCAAGAAACAGAAAUCAGACAAAAAAAAAAAAAAUAGAACUUUGCUGGCUCGCCCAGAAGUUUGCCAUGUGUUUUUUUUUGAGCCAUGAUUCCCUUCCUCCCUAUUAGAGGCAGUCACAGUCCUGAUUCAGAUG
rnacentral:lncRNA from 1 species